rnacentral:lncRNA from 1 species
GGGAAACACCCUAUAUAGAUGCAGAAAUAAUGUUUAAUUUGGGCACCCCAAUGGCCCAGUCAAGAUGACACAUAAAAUUAACCAUCACGCAAACUGAAUGACUUUUAGGAAACUUAUUAAUGCUUUGUACUUUUGUAUUUUGCCUAGUAUUUUUUCACUGAAAAUGCAGAGAUAACAGCUAUUUUGUUAUACCAUACUGAGGAUCCGAAGACAGUUUAUUCAAAGUGCCUAACAUAAGGAGAGAGAGAAAAUCUGAAGCAUGCUCCAUGCCCAUCAUAGAGCCGGACACAGAACCCAAUCCCACAACCCCGAGAUCACGACCUGAACCAGAAUGGAGUUGGACGCUUAACUGAUUCAGCUACCCAGGAAAAAAAACCUGCAGAGAGAGGAAAAGCACGAGAUGGUCCCCAAGGAUCAUGGAGCUCAGAAGGAGACCAGUACCCAGGACUUAAACUUUAGAGCAAUGAGCAAGGUGGGGGAGGGGUGGAGGAUGGGUGAAGGGAGAGAGAGACAGAAUCUUAAGCAGGCUCCAUGCCCAGUGUGGAACUCUGCGUGGGACUUCGUCUCAUGAACCUGAGAUCAUGGCCUGAGUUGAAAUCAAGAGUUGGAUGCUUAACUGACUGAGCCACCCAGGUGCCCUUUUUUUGUUUGGGUAGAUAUUUGUCUGUCUUAUUUGUACUAGAAAAGAUUUCAAUGUUGCUUUGCAAUUUCUACAAAUGUUAGAUUUCUACUUUAUUAAUUUCUGCUUCUAUCUCUAUGAAUUCCUUAUUUUGACUUCUUUUUGGCUUCCUCCCUUAUUUAUUUACUGGCUCCUUUAGAGGAAUGUUGAAUUAACUUGAAUUUGACAUACCUUAUUUUCUAAUAAAUAUAUGUGGGGUAAUACUAUUUUUAUUGCACACCUCUUGAC